CAGUAGCCGCGGUAAUACAGAGGGUGCGAGCGUUAAUCGGAUUUACUGGGCGUAAAGCGUGCGUAGGCGGCUUUUUAAGUCGGAUGUGAAAUCCCUGAGCUUAACUUAGGAAUUGCAUUCGAUACUGGGAAGCUAGAGUAUGGGAGAGGAUGGUAGAAUUCCAGGUGUAGCGGUGAAAUGCGUAGAGAUCUGGAGGAAUACCGAUGGCGAAGGCAGCCAUCUGGCCUAAUACUGACGCUGAGGUACGAAAGCAUGGGGAGCAAACAGGAUUAGAUACCAGUGUAGUCCCUGUCUCUUAUUC
rnacentral:rRNA from 1 species